GUGGUGGUGUGAAAGUGUUCAUCUAGACGGGUUACCAGCGCACCUGAGCUACCGGAAGGCUGUGAGGUUAAACAUUUCCUUGUAACCCGUGUCUGGCCCCUGCUGUGCAUCCCCGCGGGCACAGAGUUGUCUUAAACGUAAUGGAGGGCGAGCAGUGCACAUUGCAUACCCCGAAUCACCCUUCUCUCCUCCUUCAGAGACUUACAAUGUCGGAAGAUCACACCACCCGAGCCACGAGUCACUGCUGCCCAAGUCUUCAAGCAUACUAUUGGAGCGCUGUGGCCGUCUGGUGAACCCUCCUAGCUUGGUAGUGUCCUGUGAGGGGAUGACAGACGUGGUGGCUGAGUGGUUUCCUCUGCAUGGGUGACCAGGAUGACGGGUGGUCGUGGGUUAAUUAUUGGGCAUGUACAGAGUAGAGAUGAAGUGUGCUGGGAGGAGGGAGCUGCUAGGGAGAUGAGGAAGACCAUGGAGAUGCUGGAAGUUGGAGUGACAGAGGGAGAGGCAGAGGAUAGGAGAGGUGGAGAGAGCUGAUCCACUAUGACAACACCUGACAGGAACAAGCCAAUUAAAGCUCUUCUCCAUGAAGCACUGUACACUGUCUGACAUUCUGGGGCGUGGCGGGUUGACACAAGACAACUGCUGGAUUCAGCCGGUGGAUGCAGGCGAUGUCACCGUAAAGUUCUCUGCUACAAGACUUGAACACUACCCAGGAACUCAGUGCUGGUGCAGGUCCUCCUCUCUCACUGCCCCCAGCUGCUGCAGGCCAGGUGUGGCAGUGGUGCAGAGUUGUUUAAAAAGGUUAAUGUACACUACUUUUCUCUUUCCUGUUUCUCCCUACCCCCCUUAAGGCCCGUCCACAUGAUUGAGCAGUGCCCUCGAGCACAGGCGAGCAGUCUGCCCGUUGACGGGCUUACUACUUGUGCCCGCAAGCUAGUAGUAGUUUUUCAGCGGGCACAAGUGGUAAGCCCGUCAACGGGCAGACCGCUCACCUGUGCUUGAGGGCACUGCUCGAUCGUGUGGACGGGCCUUUAGAGGUCCUCCAGACUUAGUGACAUCCUGCUCUGAUAAAUGCAAGUUUGGAAAAUUCCCCAUUGUUCAGCUGUUCACAUUCCCUUUCAAGCUGUGGUACCAAGAAUGUCAGCCUCCGUCUGUGUCCUGAGGUAGUGGGUCUUACCAUAACACCACAGGAUCAAGGGCCAAUGAAAUGAGAUGACCACCAAGGCCUUAGCUUAACCCUUUGACUGCAGAUUUCCUACAAGAAGACCUCACCAAGCUACAGGAAUGGAACAAAAAGUGGCUGCUACAAUUCAAUGAAAACUGUAAAGUCAUGCAUCUAGGGAGGGAAUAUCCAGCAUACCAAUGCCACAUGGGAAACACACUACUAUCCACCACAGAGGCAGAGAAAGACUUGGGAAUAUGUUACCGGUGAAGGCAUAAUCCAUGCCAAUCUCAGCGGACAGGUUCACGUAUGUACCCAUAUGCCUGACAACAUUAAUACAUUCCCUCCUGACAUGACAUUUCUCACAGACAAUGAAAUGUUUGCCUACGGAAUAAACUCAACUCCCUGGAAAAUUAUUUAAGGCACACUUAACCUCCACUGGCCCCUAAAAAGUGACUAAUCCAACCUUUACUAGAAUAUACAGAGCAUUAGCCUCAUCACAAGAGCACUGCUGCGGAAAAUUGAGCCAAGGUAUAAAAAUGAUUCGUAUUGUGAAGAUAAGAUUACCCUCCACAUAAGAUGAAUUACAAAGGGGGCAUAGUAGUAACAGUAGUAGUAGCCCCUGAGAAAGAAAAAAAAACUACUGGUAUCCACAUAAAAGUUAACCUUAAACUUAGCUAUUCUGAAAGUCUGACUUCUACACCAAAACGCCAUUCAUAACUAUUCCAUUUUCAUAUCUUGACUCCAUUUCCCUGAGAAUAUUUUUCCCUUAUGGUCUUUAGUAACAAAAUUAAACUGAUAUACUGGCUAACAAACCCCAGUCUUGACCCCUAUGGCAACAACUCCAGCAACACUCACGGUGGAGGUGGUGACAGUAGCCGAAGGUUGGUUGGUGAGCAGAUGUGUCAGGUUACAUUCGAGUGUCUGCAGCUUCUUCGUCAAGUCUUUGGGGGGGUUCUCUUGGGGCAGGUCUUGUGGGUUGGCGUGUUGGGAGGGAGUCUGGGUCUGAAAGGUAGUUGGACUUUAGAAUAGCUAAGAGAAGAGAAGUUGGAAGAAGAAACAAGUCGAAGGAAAAGGAAUGGGGUGUUUAAAAGGAUCUGAGGUUUGGAAGGUAGCAGGAACUUAGAACAGCUUAGAGAAGAGGUGGAAUAGGAGUCAAGAGCAUUACAAGACAGAUAAGGGAAGAGGUGAGUGGAAGAGAAAGAGAGGGAGUGUAAGAGUAUUAGCUAAGAAAGGAUUAAAGGUUUGGAAGGUAGCAGGAACUUAGAACAGCUUAGAGAAGAGGUGGAAUAGGAGUCAGAGUACUACAAAUUGACAGGUAAAGAAAGAACCAAUUGGAAGAGAAAGGGAGGGGGUGUUAAGUGUAUUAGUUAAGAGAGGAUUAGAGGUUUAUAAAGAUUAGUUAACCCGGUAGCAGCGACAGGACAAAUUUGUGGCUUUACUGUGUACCAGCGACGGGCCAAAUUUUUGCCAUGAUAUAAACCCCCAAAAUAGAUGAUGCAUAAACUGAUCACACAUGCGUUGAUGUUUAUUAUGAAAUGGUUUGUGUGAGUUAUGAUUUUUGGGCCCUUUAAGAAACAAGAUCCCCGCAGCUACCGGGUUAAGGAAGGAUUAGUACCAGUAGAAAUACAGGGAGUGACUAAUAUUGUUAAGUACAGUUGGGGGGCAUAAGCUAUAACUGGGAAUGGCCUCGGUGCAUAUGAGCUGAAACUAUGGAUACAAAUCAACACUUAUUUUAGUAUAACUUAUGACAAAAGAAUGAAGGCAACAGGACAAACAAAGGACAUAUUCAACUGAUAAUUAUAAGGCCUUUGGGGGUACUGAUCCUUAUAAACACACACAUAUAAUCAGUCCAAUCCUUAAAUAUAAUGCAAGAUGUUUUAGAAAUCCUGAAUAGUCUCAUUUACAAGUUCCUUUAAAUCAUUUGCUAUUCCUUGUGUUAUCCAAUUCACUGAUGACUUAAGUUUCCAUAGAUGUCCUGGCGCUUUGAAUGUUGGAGGUGCUUAGUUCUUAAUAAUUAGGUUUGACAAAGUUUUCCUCCUACCUGGAGUCUUUUGGGGGCAGCGUCAGGCAGGGUUACACGGUCCACCUCCUUCUCCUUAACCACUUCACACCCUGAAUACUUAAACUUACAGCCUUGAAUGGGAAAACACGCCUCAACCAUCAUUAACUUUAAUAAAAACAUUUCUACAAGGGGGAAAGACUUAUGUACAACAGGUAUAUCGACAAAUAAAUAAACCUCAGGUGGUGGGACGAAGACUUGAACAACUCCGAGACUUAAGUUAUACGAAAGCCUUAACCAUAACUUCUCCUGGUGUUGAAAUUCAUUAAUAUUA